rnacentral:snRNA from 1 species
AUAGGCAUAGGCAUUUACAUACCAAAAUUGGAACGAUACAGAGAAGAUUAGCAUGGCGCCUGCGCAAGGAUGACACGCAAAAUCGUGGAGCGUUCUACAUUUUU